UGGGGAAUAUUGCACAAUGGGCGCAAGCCUGAUGCAGCCAUGCCGCGUGUAUGAAGAAGGCCUUCGGGUUGUAAAGUACUUUCAGUCGGGAGGAAGGUGGUAAGGUUAAUAACCUUAUCAAUUGACGUUACCGACAGAAGAAGCACCGGCUAACUCCGUGCCAGCAGCCGCGGUAAUACGGAGGGUGCAAGCAUUAAUCGGAAUUACUGGGCGUAAAGCGCACGCAGGCGGUUGAUUGAGUCAGAUGUGAAAUCCCCGGGCUUAACCCGGGAAUUGCAUCUGAUACUGGUCAGCUAGAGUCUUGUAGAGGGGGGUAGAAUUCCAUGUGUAGCGGUGAAAUGCGUAGAGAUGUGGAGGAAUACCGGUGGCGAAGGCGGCCCCCUGGACAAAGACUGACGCUCAGGUGCGAAAGCGUGGGGAGCAAACAGG
rnacentral:rRNA from 1 species